CCCUUAGAUGUCCUGGGCCGCACGCGCGCUACACUGACAUGUUCAACAAGCCUCCUAGUUCGACAGGAUUUGGGAAAUCUUUGAACGCAUGUCGUGAUAGGGAUAGAUCAUUGCAAUUAUUGAUCUUGAACGAGGAAUUCCUAGUAAACGCGAGUCAUCAGCUCGCAUUGAUUACGUCCCUGCCCUUUGUACACACCGCCCGUCGCACCUACCGAUUGAAUGUUUCGGUGAAGAUUCCGGAUAGGACUUUUUUGAUUUAUUUCAAUUUUGUCUUAAAAGCUAUCUAAACCUCACCAUUUAGAGGAAGGUGAAGUCGUAACA
rnacentral:rRNA from 1 species